CAGCAGCCGCGGGAAUACGGAGGGUGCAAGCGUUAAUCGGAAUUACUGGGCGUAAAGCGCACGCAGGCGGUCUGACAAGUCAGAUGUGAAAUCCCCGGGCUUAACCUGGGAACUGCAUUUGAAACUGUCAGGCUGGAGUCUUGUAGAGGGGGGUGGAAUUCCAGGUGUAGCGGUGAAAUGCGUAGAGAUCUGGAGGAAUACCGGUGGCGAAGGCGGCCCCCUGGACAAAGACUGACGCUCAGAUGCGAAAGCGUGGGGAGCAAACAGGAUUAGAUACCCGUGUAGUCCCUGUCUCUUAUAC
rnacentral:rRNA from 1 species